rnacentral:rRNA from 1 species
UACGUAGGGGGCAAGCGUUGUCCGGAAUCAUUGGGCGUAAAGCGCGUGUAGGCGGCCCGAUAAGUCCGCUGUGAAAGUCCAGGGCUCAACCCUGGGAUGCCGGUGGAUACUGUCGGGCUCGAGUCCGGAAGAGGAGUGUGGAAUUCCUGGUGUAGCGGUGAAAUGCGCAGAUAUCAGGAGGAACACCAAUGGCGAAGGCAGCACUCUGGGACGUGACUGACGCUGAGACGCGAAAGCGCGGGGAGCGAACGGG